UACGUAGGGAGGCAAGCGUUGUCCGGAAUUACUGGGCGUAAAGCGCGUGUAGGUGGUGGGACAAGUCAUGCUGUCGAAAGCGCCUGGCUUAACCGGGCGAGGUCGGCGGAAACUGUCCGACUCGAGGACGGUAGACGGGGGGUGGAAUUCCCGGUGUAGUGGUGAAAUGCGUAGAGAGUCGGGAGGAACACCUGUGGCGAAGGCGGCCCCCUGGGCUGCACCUGACACUGAGACGCGAAGGCCAGGGGAGCGAACGGG
rnacentral:rRNA from 1 species